GGGUAAUAAUCAAACCCUUAGUCACAUUGGCACACUGGAGGGGGGGUUGGGGGCUCUUCACUGUAUCAUUUCUCAGAAUGAUCAGAUAUCACACUUAAUACCAUUACGCCAUGCUUAGCUAACAGGUUAUAGCUAAUACUGUGUGUGUAAACUGCGCACUCUGCAGAGGUCACAGCAGUGGCUCAGCAUUACAUGGGCCUUCACUCACAGAAGGGCAGGCUGACAGUUUUCUUCACUGACCUUGGGUGCUUAUGCAAAGGUUGAAAUAACAGUGUGCAGGAUUUCAGGCUGCCACUUUGUGACCCCGCCCCUCCACUGCGUGACCACCCACAGAGGCCUGUGUAUCCUGCAUGGCUGCUGUUAGAGACCUGGGCGUCUGGCCUUCUACGGCAUGUUCCAGAAAGGAGUGUGAUUGGACUGGUACGGUGGCUUGAGUGUGGCAGUGUUCUGUCUGGGCACAUCAGAUGACCUCCCCCCCCUCCACAACACAGACUCAUUUUAGAGGGGGGGGGGGGCUACACAAAAUCACUGACAGGGAGAACAUCCUGUAUAAGCCUGCAGCAUGCCUCUGAGAGACCAAACACAAACCUGUCCACUCAGUGUGAUCACAAAAGCAGAACACAGGAAAUGGCUGCACUGCAAGGUACAAUGCUUCCCAACACAGCUGUUAAAAAGGGUUAUUUGUCUGCCCUUUCAGCAUGCAUGUUUACCCCUAUACGGUAAUAAAUUGUGUUUGUUAAUACCCCACAACACUCCCCUCUCAUCAGUGACAUUUUCCAACUCAUUAGCUCUGCUGUUGCCUCCUGCAUUUUCCAUGCCUAUCGUCUUCAAUAGUUGUCACCCUUUCAGUACGCUGUCAUGUGAUUGGUUAAUCGAGGGCUUGUGCCAUGCUCCCCGUCCAAUGAGCCUCCAGUUAAUUCCCAUCCCCCAACCCCACACCCAUAUUUUGUAAUUACUGCUUUCACACUUAACAACACUGCCUGGAAACCAUGGUUGAAAACGAGCUGAAGCUGGCAUCGGCAGUCCAGAAUCCUCCUCCAGCCAAUCAGACAGGUGAACGUGGGGGGAUAGCGUGAGGGACUCAUUUGUGCCCUGUGAUUCUGCAUUUCCUGCCUGUGUUCCUGACAGAUACACAAACUCCCCAGCGCACUGGAACUCUUUCUUUACGAGUCAUUACCAACAGUCACUUCUUAACUACCCAGCCUUGCACCACAGGGAUUAACAAAUUCAUUACCUUAUUUUAAAAAAAGACCCUUCAUUUUCACCAUCAUUUAAAUCUUGGUCCGUUUUUCUGCACUAUCAACAAAUGUGUUUACUGAUAAUGUUCUCCCAUGGUUCGCCAUGUGCUAUCAAUCUCCCAAAGCUGGUUAAGUACCCUCUAAAUGUCUUCUGCUCAUGAUCCCCACUGUCUCUGGGUCAUUAUACAGGACUAUAAUUGUUCUGCAUGA